AUUGAACGCUGGCGGCAGGCCUAACACAUGCAAGUCGAACGAGUGGCGGACGGGUGAGUCAUGUCUGGGAAACUGCCUGCUGGAGGGGGAUAACUACUGGAAACGGUAGCUAAUACCGCAUACCAUCAGCUGUGCCCAGAUGGGAUUAGCUUGUGGGUGGGGUAACGGCUCACCAAGGAGACGAUCCCUAGCUGGUCUGAGAGGAUGACCAGCCCCACUGGACCUGAGACACGGUCCAGACUCCUACGUGAGGCAGCAGUGGGGAAUAUUGCACAAUGGGCGAAAGCCUGAUACAGCCAUGCCGCGUGUAUGAAGAAGGCCUUCGGGUUGUAAAGUACUUUCAGCAGGGAGGCGGUACCCGCAGAAGAAGCACCGGCUAACUACGUGCCAGCAGCCGCGGUAAUUC
rnacentral:rRNA from 1 species